CACAAAGCAAUGGAAUGUAAGAAUCGGAAUUCAGUCCAACACCUUCGCUGAUGGUCUUGAACAUUUUUAAAACACAGUAGGCUUUUAAGCUUAAGCCAGGGUGGAUUGUAAAGGAAAUACCAACCAUGUGGUGAAACAUCCCAAAUGCCCUGCACCGUUUAUGAGCUCUCUGAAGGACAGAGGGUCAUCCUGUUUCAAUCUCCAGAAUAUGCUUUCUCCCAUGGAAGUGAACUAAAGAGCACUAUCCAGAAAAAAAUCAGGACUCAUCCGUGGGAGGUUCCAGGGCUCAAAGACGUUUGGCAGCAUUGCUGAUGCAGACAUUCAAGUCAGAAGACCAGAUCUUGGCUUAUCUUCAAGGAGAGUGAGUCUUAGCCCAUGACAUACACAGCAUAGCAAAGCCCACCAAACUACCUGAGGGUGGACACACACCCACGCUCAGCUCAGGAGAAUGAUGUGGGAAAGAUACCCGUCUGGCCAAAGAAGCAGACACAGGGAGCUUCCAAAAACAAACAAAAGUUAUAUUUGUUUUUUUUUUAAAUAAGUAUCCAAUUUUUCAUGUCAAUAAAGAUAAUCUGCUUAAUAAAAUAUUGAGUUUU
rnacentral:lncRNA from 12 species